GUUCGACAACAUCCGUGAGGCCGUGGAGCGCUACCCCUUCGCCGCCAUGGACACCGAGUUCCCCGGCGUCGUUCACCGCUCCCGGAAGCACCCCGCCCACCUCUCCACCGCCGAGCGGUACGCGCUGCUCAAAGCCAACGUCGACGACCUCCACCUCAUCCAAGUCGGGCUCACCCUCUCCGACGCCGCCGGCAACCUCCCCGACCUCUGCGACGACGGCGGCGUCCGCUACAUCUGGGAGUUCAACUUCAGUGAUUUCGACCUCUACCGCGACCGCUACGCCCCCGAGUCCAUCGACCUCCUCAAGUCCAACGGGAUCGACUUCGAGAAGAACCGGGCGCGGGGAAUCGACUCCCGCCACUUCGCCGAGCUCCUAAUGUCGUCGGGACUGGUGUGCAACGACUCGGCCGUGAGCUGGGUGACGUUCCACAGCGCCUACGACUUCGCAUACCUGAUCAAGAUCCUAACUUGCCGCCGGCUGCCGGAGCAUCUGGGCGGAUUCAUGGCCUUGGUGAGGGUUUUCUUCGGGGACAAGGUGUUCGACAUGAAGCACAUGAUGAAGUACUGCCACAGCCUGUACGGCGGAUUGGAGCGGGUGGCGAGCGCCCUGGAGAUCGACCGGGCGGUGGGGCGGUGCCACCAGGCGGGAUCGGACAGUUUGCUAACCUGGCAAGCCUUCCGGCGGAUGAAGGAGCUCUUCUUCGUGGAGGACGCGGGCGAGAAGCAUGCCGGAGUCCUCUAUGGAUUGGAAGUCGCUGACCCAUAGUCUUAAUUCUUCGAUUAGUUUGUAUGUAAAGAGUGAGUUUUGUGAAUG
rnacentral:lncRNA from 1 species